rnacentral:rRNA from 1 species
UAACAAAAACAUUUCCUUUUUGGUGAAAGGUAGAUUCUGCCCAGUGUUGUAAUACCCGGCUGCGGUAUUCUGACCGUACGAAGGUAGCAAAAUAAAUAGUCUUUUAAUUGGGGACUGGAAUGAAAGAUUUAAUUAGGAACUUGCUUUUUUGCAGAUAGUAAUAGAAUUUAAUUAAUAAGUUAAAAGGCUUAUGUAUUUUAGAGUGACAAGAAGACCCUAAGAGUUUUACAAAUUAAGCUAUUUAAGGCAAUUGGGUGUAAAUGUUUUGUUUGGUUGAUUUUGUUUAACUGGGGCGGUUAAAAUAAUAUCUAUUUUGUAUUGGACUUGAAUGGGAGGGUUAGUUAGAUAGUAGGAUCCUUUUUGGAAAGCAAAAUAAAUUACCUUAGGGAUAACAGCAUAAUCUUUUUUGAGAGACCGUAUUGACAAAAAGGUUUGUGACCUCGAUGUUGGAUUUGAAUAACUUUUUGGAGCAGCAUUUUUACAAGUUGGUCUGUUCGACCAUUAAAUUUCAACAUGAUUUGA